rnacentral:rRNA from 1 species
CCUACGGGAGGCAGCAGUGGGGAAUAUUGGGCAAUGGACGCAAGUCUGACCCAGCAACGCCGCGUGAAGGAAGAAGGCUUUCGGGUUGUAAACUUCUUUUAAGGGGGAAGAGCAGAAGACGGUACCCCUUGAAUAAGCCACGGCUAACUACGUCCCAGCAGCCGCGGUAAUACGUAGGUGGCAAGCGUUGUCCGGAUUUACUGGGUGUAAAGGGCGUGCAGCCGGAGAGGCAAGUCAGAUGUGAAAUCCGCGGGCUCAACUCGCGAACUGCAUUUGAAACUGCUUCCCUUGAGUAUCGGAGAGGUAAUCGGAAUUCCUAGUGUAGCGGUGAAAUGCGUAGAUAUUAGGAAGAACACCAGUGGCGAAGGCGGUUUACUGGACGGCAACUGACGGUGAGGCGCGAAAGCGUGGGGAGCAAACAGGAUUAGAUACCCUAGUAGUC